GGCUGUUAAGGUGUCGAGACGGCUGUUAAGGUGUCGAGACGGCUGUUAAGGUGUCGAGACGGCUGUUGAGGUGUCGAGACGGCUGUUAAGGUGUCGAGACGGCUGUUAAGGUGUCGAGACGGCUGUUAAGGUGUCUAGACGGCUGUUAAGGUGUCGAGACGGCUGUUAAGGUGUC
rnacentral:sRNA from 1 species